GGAGUGAUGGUUUUGCCCUCAUUUGAAAUUUGUUUUACGGCUCUGCCACUGACCAACUUUUGUUUUCCAUCUCUCUUCCGCCGUGUUUUUGCUUUCUCUUUUCUUCCUUCUGCUUCCUAAAACCGCCUCCUUCACUCCCUCAGACAACUACCUCCUCAACUGCGGCUCUUCCUCCAAGGCCACCCUCUUCAACUGAGUCUUCAUCGGAGAUUCCAAUUCCUGGUCGGAUUUUGUCUCCACAGGCCGGUCUAUUUCAGUCACCAACAACAAAAGCCCACCUCCAAAGUCCAAACUCACCCUCUCCUUACAAGACAGCAAGAGUUUUCAUCACUGCUUCAAGCUAUAGCUUCAGCAUCAAGAAAAUCGGAACUCACUUGUUUUUGUGCCCGUGAGGCAUAAGCUCCUCCAGCGGUUGCUGCUUCGGAUUGUGAGAGAGAAUAAUUACUGUGCUUUUUGUUUAGGUAAAGAUGGAUGACCCUAAUUGUGUUAGAGAAAAGAACAAGAGCUACUAGGGAUUCCUUGCCAAACUAUUGGCAUCAAUUGGCAGUAGGUCCAGAAGAGAACGUAAGGAAACAAUUAAGGAGGUGUAUUGCAGCCUAGGUCCAAGUUAUGGUUUGGGUUAGCUAAGAGGUCCAAUGCAAAUUCAUGUCCAGUUUCGACUUCAUGUUUGAUUCCAGCUUUACAGAAAAAAAGCUCCUUGCAAUCACAAGUUGGACUAGAAUCUCUCAUCUUUGAUUAUUAUACAUAGUGGAAUAAAUUUUCUUUUCUAUUACUUAUGUGUGUGUGUGAAAACGUUUAUGACUAUCAAAUGAUUCACCUACAAGAUCCACAAAAGUUGGAAGGAGUUCUUUCUCCUUCUCAUUUAGAGGACAUGGAAUUUGCUCAAUCUCUAGGCAGAACAGAGUGAACAUAAAGAAAUGUCAGUUCAUUUGCUGGGUUAUUUUUAAGUUCUCUCAGUAUGUGUGAUUUCUCCUGGACAACUUAGCUCAAUUACCAAUGAUGCUGGGUUUCAUUAAAUAAACUUUUAGUUCAAGUCUCAACUGUGAAAUGGUAUUGUGAUUGAGGUAUAAAAGCUAUUAUAGCAUCAUUUUGCUAAUACAUCCCAUCAGCCAAUUUUUAUUGAGGAAAUCAGUUUCCUUAUAGUUUAAUGAGUUGUGCUUGAAUUGAUGGUUAGAGAACCGGCGGAUUGAAAAAUAGAACCAAAGUAGUUUAAUGAUUAUUUUUCCCUCUCUCUCCAUGCAUUAUCGUUACUGCAAUCUGAGAUUAGUGGCAUGCAUAACUUUAUUCAAGAAAAUAUAUAUUAGUACUGCUGCUAUAACUAUUGAUGGUUAUUAUAACUUCAAGUUUCUCAUUGCAAACCCUUCUUUUUGUAUUAAAUACCAGUUUAUCACUAUUUCCUCAAGUAUUUAUCUAUCCACCCGAUCUAGAAUUUCUUUUCUAAAGACCUAUUUCUGGAUUGGUAGCAGCAUUAAUCUUAUUGCACGUUUUCGAGGCUAUUUGCAAUGGAGCAGUUCAUCAGAAUUGUAACAUUUCGGAUAUGAAGAAACGGUACUUAUGCUUUUACAAGGAAGGCUUCAAUUCAGUUUCUGCUUUCAAGCUGAGAUGUGUUACUCUCUAUGACGUUGUUUUGGUUGCCAUCAGUCGAAUACCGCUAAUCGAAGACAAAGUUCGGUUAUGUGACUUAUGUCAAGCUCUCAUCCAAACUUUUCACAUUUCACUUGGAAUGUUGCAGCUUGGGCAGACAACGAAGUUAGUAGUACUUGCAUUGUUGAUGAUCAUGUACUAUUUUUUAUUCUAAUUAGCAGUCUUGAUAGGAAAAUCUGUAGUUCACUUUUUCAACCACAAAUCUGAAAGAAGGUUGUUGCGAUAAUGGCAUCUGGUUGCUCUUUAAAAUUUACGGGGAAUACUGCUAUGAUAAUGGCAUCAAUGUUUUAAGUGUAAUCCAGCUAUUAAAAUGUAAUGAGUAAAUUGAUCAGGUAGACUCA